rnacentral:snoRNA from 1 species
AGAGCAAGUGAUGAUAAAAAUAGACAGGGACAUCUGCACUCCCUUUCUUGGGUGAUUGAUGACUUAGUCUAAAAUGGGAAUCUCUCUGAUGCAAU